rnacentral:misc_RNA from 1 species
GCGAAUCACAUACGCUGCUUGCGACAAAGGAUAGUGAAACAUGUCAUACAGAGGCCAUUUGGGUAAAUAAGGUAGAUUCCGAAUAGCCGAAAAAAAGUUUAUGUUUUACAAACACUGAGGGUCUGGAAAUUUGCUGGAUUUCCAGGCAGUGAAAAAAGGGAAUGUUAAAUUCUGACGGAUUAUCGGAGGGAAGCGAAGCUUGGCAGCAACGAAGAGCAAGGUUGUUCUCGGCAGUCAUGAUGAACGACCAUAACGGCCCUCACGGAACGUUCGGUGACCGAGUGAACAUGCAUUCAGAUAAGGAACUUUCCGAUUUGCUCGAUUUCAGCGCGAUGUUUUCUCCACCAAUCGGCUCCAAUGGAGGCGUGAAGAAUAACCCUCAGCAAUCCAACCAAAACAUGGAGUUUGGGUUCAAACCAGGAUUAGAUGAAGGCUCAUGGAAUUCAAACAACCCCCCUGGUUCCUUCGAUAGAGGGAUGUAUGACCAGAAUUACAACGGCCAAACAACAGACAACAUGCACCCAUUUACCAACGAAGUUCCUAACCUUAUCAACAACAAGACCACAGACCUGCCUUAUAGAACUAAUAUGCCUGGAGCUCAGGGAAUGAUGGGAAGUAAUGUUCCCAUGUCUCCGGACUCACUCUCUCCUGGUGCAAAAUCUCCUUACUUCUACAACAAGCAGCAAGACAUGUCAAUAAAAGGCAGAAGAGCCAGUACCCAUGGUGCUUCAGGGAAAAGGUCAAAGAUGUAUCCCUCCAGCCCUGAGGAGUACAAUGAUUCCAGCAAUAGAUACCACGCAUCCCCAAACCCUAUGUUCCCCAAGGAUUCUUACUACAUGCCAGAUGGUCCUGGACAUAACACGCCCGACCCCUGGUCCUCCAGCAAUGGACUUCCGACUUCCACAUAUCCCUCAAUGUUGCCAGGCAACAGUCAUCAUUCUCAAGCAUAUCCCAGCAUGCAUCACUCUCACGACAUGGUAAGGUCCUCUCCAGUCGGGAACUCCGACGUGCGACAUUCGCCCGGAGUAAUGGUCGCGCAGUGGUUGGGAAAUAACCCCCCUUCUUCUUCCUCCUCCUCUGUUCCUUCAUCGAGGCAUCACCCCCAACAGGGUUACUCCAAUGUUCCUCCUCCUCCUCCACCCCAGGACAACCUGGGACUACCCCCCAUGUCAACAUUCCGACCGGGCACCACCAUCCCUACCACCUCAUACUCCACCACCUCACCCACGGUCAACGGUGGGGGCAGCGGAGGCGGGGGUCAGGGGUCGCAGACCGGGGACGCCAUCAACAAAGCUCUGGCAUCUAUAUAUUCACCCACAGAUCAUACCAAUAGUAGCUACGGUUCAAAUCCCUCCACCCCAGUAUCUUCACCACCCCCAGGAUCAUCAAGUCAGUGGCAGAGACCAUCCACCCAGACUUCUACCUCGCCCCACUUUGAAGGGGGAAACCCCCUCCAUUCUCUGCAAAGUCGUAUGGAAGAGCGUCUAGACGAUGCCAUACAUGUUUUGCGGCAUCACGCAGGGGAACCACAGAUGGCUGGUCUAGCGGCAGCAGCGGUGGGUGGAGGUGGUGGCGGUCAUCAGAAUCUGUCCAUGAUGCACUCUGGCGGGAACCACCCCAAUGGUAUGAGUGGAAUGUCCAGUUACUCUGGGAUGGGCGGAAUUUCCAGUCAUGUGGAUCAGAUGGGGAGCCAUCACAACACAUCAGAAAACACGGAGUCCAAGAGCCUUGAUGGUGCUCCUUCAGAGAAAGCCAACCUAGCCCUGAAAGAGGAGAAGAUGGACAAAAUCGAUGGUGACUCGACCAAAAGCGAGAGCUCGGGGGAGGGGUCAAAGAGUAGUGUCACCUCUCCCGGGGGCAACGGUCCCCCUAGUAAGAGAUCUAGGUACGGAGACGACACCAGUUUAGCAGGAAGUGAACCCAAUGACGAAGAUGAAUCUCCUGAAACCAAGGCGGAAAGGGAGAGAGUACGACGUCAGGCCAACAAUGCCCGGGAAAGAAUCCGGGUGCGGGACAUUAAUGAGGCGUUCAAGGAACUUGGCCAGAUGGUGGCGCUACAGUCGGGCUCCACCCAGCCCCUCACCAAAGUGAUGAUUCUCCAGCAUGCUGUUCACGUCAUCUCCUCGCUAGAACAGCAGGUCCGAGAGAGGAAUCUCAAUCCCAAGGCAGCAUGUCUGAAACGCCGCGAGGAAGAGAAGACGGAGGAGCUGCCGGGAGGUCGCGGCGGCAUGACGGCGGACGAUCUGGCCGCGCAGCAGGCAGCGUUAUCAGGUAAGGUACGCAACUUGUUGCUGCCUUAUUCCAGCGCUCAGUACGGCCAGCAAGAAGAUGGUGACAUGGAGGACUUCUGCUGAGUCGAGUUUUUGUUAGGUUCUGCCUCUCUGAGUCAAAUGGGGUCAUGUGGAGGAGGAGGGAGGGGAGGGGGCGUGUCCAUGAACAACGCCCCCACAAACAGACACAGUGCUUACCCGUACAUGUCAGGGGGCGGUCAGGAGAACAGCCCCUACAUGAUGGGAGGGGAACCCCCCGCCAUGAAAUAUUCAGACUCUAAGUGUUCGUCCUCCAAGUCGAUGGAGUCAGAGAUGGCCAUGAAUGGGAUGGGUCUGUCCUCGUCGUCGGGCGGGGGCGGCCUGGACCACUGUGGCCCCGGUGACAUGGGGAUGCUGGCCCGACUGACCUCAGACCAAGGACACUCCACUUGCUAGCCGCUAAAAAA